GAGGAUAAUAAAUUUAUUUAUUAAUUUUCAUGGCGGACGGGUGAGUAACGCGUAAAGAACUUGCCCACUAGACUGGGAUAACAGAGAGAAAUUUCUGAUAAAACCGGAUAAGUUGAAAGUAGGCAUCUACUUUAAAUGAAAAAGAGAUUACUAGUGGAGAGCUUUGCGUCCUAUUAGCUAGUUGGUGGGGUAAAGGCCUACCAAGGCGAUGAUAGGUAGCCGGCCUGAGAGGGUGAACGGCCACAAGGGGA
rnacentral:rRNA from 1 species